AUUGAACGCUGGCGGAAUGCUUUACACAUGCAAGUCGAACGGCAGCACGGACUUCGGUCUGGUGGCGAGUGACGAACGGGUGAGUAAUGCAUCGGAACGUGCCCAGUCGUGGGGGAUAACGUAGUGAAAAUUACGCUAAUACCGCAUACGAACUAUGGAUGAAAGCGGGGGAUCCCAAGACCUCGCGCGAUUGGAGCGGCCGAUAUCAGAUUAGGAAGUUGGUGGGGUAAAGGCCCACCAAGCCAACGAUCUGUAGCUGGUCUGAGAGGACGACCAGCCACACUGGAACUGAGACACGGUCCAGACUCCUACGGGAGGCAGCAGUGGGGAAUUUUGGACAAUGGGCGAAAGCCUGAUCCAGCCAUUCCGCGUGCAGGAUGAAGGCCCUCGGGUUGUAAACUGCUUUUGUACAGAACGAAAAGGUUUCUACUAAUACUAGGAGCUCAUGACGGUACUGUAAGAAUAAGCACCGGCUAACUACGUGCCAGCCGCCGCAGUAA
rnacentral:rRNA from 1 species